rnacentral:rRNA from 1 species
CCUACGGGUGGCAGCAGUGAGGAAUAUUGGUCAAUGGACGAGAGUCUGAACCAGCUAAGUAGCGUGAAGGAUGACUGCCCUAUGGGUUGUAAACUUCUUUUAUAUGGGAAUAAAAUGUUCCACGUGUGGGAUUUUGUAUGUACCAUAUGAAUAAGGAUCGGCUAACUCCGUGCCAGCAGCCGCGGUAAUACGGAGGAUCCGAGCGUUAUCCGGAUUUAUUGGGUUUAAAGGGAGCGUAGGUGGAUUGUUAAGUCAGUUGUGAAAGUUUGCGGCUCAACCGUAAAAUUGCAGUUGAAACUGGCAGUCUUGAGUACAGUAGAGGUGGGCGGAAUUCGUGGUGUAGCGGUGAAAUGCUUAGAUAUCACGAAGAACUCCGAUUGCGAAGGCAGUUCACUGGACUGCAACUGACACUGAGGCUCGAAAGUGUGGGUAUCAAACAGGAUUAGAUACCCGAGUAGUC